AGAGUUUGAUCCUGGCUCAGGACGAACGCUGGCGGCGUGCUUAACACAUGCAAGUCGAACGAUGAACCACUUCGGUGGGGAUUAGUGGCGAACGGGUGAGUAACACGUGGGCAAUCUGCCCUGCACUCUGGGACAAGCCCUGGAAACGGGGUCUAAUACCGGAUACUGAUCCUUGCGGGCAUCUGCGAGGUUCGAAAGCUCCGGCGGUGCAGGAUGAGCCCGCGGCCUAUCAGCUUGUUGGUGAGGUAAUGGCUCACCAAGGCGACGGCGGGUAGCCGGCCUGAGAGGGCGACCGGCCACACUGGGACUGAGACACGGCCCAGACUCCUACGGGAGGCAGCAGUGGGGAAUAUUGCACAAUGGGCGAAAGCCUGAUGCAGCGACGCCGCGUGAGGGAUGACGGCCUUCGGGUUGUAAACCUCUUUCAGCAGGGAAGAAGCGAAAGUGACGGUACCUGCAGAAGAAGCGCCGGCUAACUACGUGCCAGCAGCCGCGGUAAUACGUAGGGCGCAAGCGUUGUCCGGAAUUAUUGGGCGUAAAGAGCUCGUAGGCGGCUUGUCACGUCGGUUGUGAAAGCCCGGGGCUUAACCCCGGGUCUGCAGUCGAUACGGGCAGGCUAGAGUUCGGUAGGGGAGAUCGGAAUUCCUGGUGUAGCGGUGAAAUGCGCAGAUAUCAGGAGGAACACCGGUGGCGAAGGCGGAUCUCUGGGCCGAUACUGACGCUG
rnacentral:rRNA from 1 species